GAUGAACGCUGGCGGCGUGCCUAAUACAUGCAAGUCGAGCGAACAGAUAAGGAGCUUGCUCCUUUGACGUUAGCGGCGGACGGGUGAGUAACACGUGGGUAACCUACCUAUAAGACUGGGAUAACUUCGGGAAACCGGAGCUAAUACCGGAUAACAUUUGGAACCGCAUGGUUCUAAAGUGAAAGAUGGUUUUGCUAUCACUUAUAGAUGGACCCGCGCCGAAUUAGCUAGUUGGUAAGGUAACGGCUUACCAAGGCGACGAUACGUAGCCGACCUGAGAGGGUGAUCGGCGACACUGGAACUGAGACACGGUCCAGACUCGUACGGGAGGCGGCAGUAGGGAAUCGUCCGCAAUGGGCGAAAGCCUGACGGAGCAACGCCGCGUGAGUGAUGAAGGGUUUCGGCUCGUAAAACUCUGUUAUUAGGGAAGAACAAAUGUGUAAGUAACUGUGCACAUCUUGACGGUACCUAAUCAGAAAGCCACGGCUAACUACGUGCCAGCCGCCGCGGUAA
rnacentral:rRNA from 1 species